rnacentral:lncRNA from 1 species
UACUUUUUCAUUUUAAAAAUUUGUUAGAUCUAAAUUGAAAAAUUUUCUCAAAAAAUUUUCUGCAUCUUUUAUAUUUUCUUGGCAUCCAAACACUCUCUAUUCUUUCAAUUUUGCAAGAAAAUCAUUCUUUCUUCUCCAAGUUCCCACCUAAACUUAGCUCGUUUUUGCUCAGUGGUGCAAAUUCAUAGAGGUUUUCGAACUAAAGGUAAACCUAUUAUUUUCUUAUGUAUUAAUUUUUUAUUAGGUGUUUUUAAUUUGAAUUUUUAUAGAUCUAAGCAAGAAAAUUAAAAAUCCAUGGUUUUAAAACUAUCUUUUGCAUAAAAAUGGUGAAUCUUAUUUUAAAGCGCUAAGAGAUGUUUUUAAAAUGAUUUUUUUAGUAUAUUUUGACAAGAUUAAGAGGUUUACAAAUUCAAUUUAUCAAAAUCUUUAAGUAAUUGCAUGAAUUAAAUGGUUUUCUUUUGAGAAUGAGGAUGAACGAUGGUUUUUUGAGAAAAGUACUGUCUAGUAAAAUUGAGUUGAAUUAUUGGCUUAGAUCUAUAAUUAGGCACAAGUUAGAGGGUUAGGAGGUAGAAAUUAAGGACUUAAUUAAGAUAAAAAGAAGAAAUUAAUCGUAAUAGAUUGUACGAAUUAAGUCGAAUAAGUAUGUGUGAGUGGAGAGCCGAUUUAUGAACACAAAGAGAUAAGUUAGAUUGUUUUUGAAUGCUUAGUAAUAUGUAUAUUUUUGUGUGAAGCUGAAAAUGUUGGUGGGAACCUCAACAAACUGGGAUAAAUGCAAGUACAAAGUUGUCUAGUUCGAUGAGCCGUGGUGAGCUACAGGUGAGUGCAUUUGUAUGUCGUAUUUUAGCAUGAAUUACGAGAUCUAGAGAGUCAAAGUGAAGCUUGCGAACCCCCACUUAUGAUAUGCAAAUUCUUACAAUUUUGUUUGAAUUGUUGGGUAUCCAUGUUGUGCAAAUUUAAAGGUGUGUGUAUAUAUAUAAUAUAUAUAUACAUCUAGGGGUUUUGUUAUUUAUAAUAUGAGAUUUGGUGUUAUAUAUAUAAUAAUAUAUAUGUGUGCAUGGGUGUUAUAUAUAUAAUAUAUAUUAACGUGCAUGGGUGUUAUAUGUAUAAAAUAUUUGCGUGGGUCUGUAUAUACAUAUUACAUAUAUAUGCGUGGUUUCGCUAUACAUAAUAUAUAUGUAUGGGUUUUAUUAUAUAAUAUAUAUAUAUAUAUAUAUAUAUGCAGUUAUAGGUUUUGCAUUAUCUAAUAUAUAUAAAUGUAUAUGAGACUUUUAAUGUAUGCUACAUGUAAGGUGACAAUGGUCACUAAAUAGGUAUGUAUAUAUAAUAUAUAUUCGUAUAUGAUUAUGUAGUACUUGCGAAUGGACAUAAAAAUAAAUAAUAUAAUGCAGACUUUUAUAACAUACGAAUGCUAUUGAUAGUGCACAUUUAUGCAUGCAUGAACCCGGAAGUGAAGUAUGAGUUUUAUGAUAUGACAAGUUCUGAUUAGUGCAAAAUUAUAUUAUUGUGAAAUGCUAAGUGCGAGCUCAAUAGUAGUCCGAGCCCAUUUAUAUUGUGUAAUAAAAUGUGAUUAAUUAGAUAUGUUGGCAAUGUGAAAACUUAAAACCAUUGGAUAUCAUUGGCAUGCCAUAGGAUUGUGAGUACUCACCCUUUUUAUUAUGUGUUAGGCAAUAUGGCCUGGAGAUAGCAUUGGAGAGAUAAGGGAAUGUCGAGCAUAGCUCCAUUCAUUGUAGAUAGAAUACGACUUUAUGAGUCAUUUGGUGUGUUUCAGAGAUCCGUUUAUCCAAUGAGUAUAUAAUUUGACUAUGUUUCAUAUUCACGAAUUACCAAUAUAUCACUGUGUUGAGCAUGUAAUUUGUGUUAUAUGUGAAUUGUUAAAGUAUGUUUAAAUCCAAACAUGCCUGAUGUGUAUAUUUGUGUUGUAUGCAUGUGUACUCAUUGAGCUUCUCCAAGCUCACACUCCUUAUUUUACCUUGUAGAUAAAUAGUUUGUGGGUUAGCGAGGAGGGUGGCAAAUUAGUGAUCCAUCACAAGGCAUGUUUUUUAGAGUAUGUGUGUUGAGCUUUUAAACUCCGAAGUGAAGGCAAUGUGGGUCGUUCCAAGGGUUUAGUACUAGAAUUAGACUUAGACAUUUUAAAUAAAAUUUUCAACGAGUUGUAAUGGACAUUAUGGACUGUUUGUUUUUAGGGGAUUUUUUAAUGUUAUAAUUGCUUGCUUGAU